AAGCAAAGCUUUCAACAAAGUAAUGACACCACGGCGCCAUCAUUGCAUACAGUUUUCACCGGGAGACAAGAACAUGGAGCAAGGAGAGGUGUCGGAUCCCCUCGAUGGCGCCUUCAACAAGGAAAAAUCAUACCCGAGGACAUCAUUCGCCAUCCGCUCAGAGCGAAGUUGAACAUGACUUUUGUCGAGGAACCGAGCACCUAUGCCGGGGACGACGUCUCCAACACACCAUCACCAGACCGGAGCAACAGGCGCCACUUGUUGCACCUCAUAGAACUGGUCAGAGCACCACCGGUGACGUCGUGCCAUAGCAACCCGAAGGCCGUCUCAAGACUACGCCACCGCGGACCGCAAACCCGAGUGGAACCACCUCGCACCCGCUGAAAGCAAGUCGCUGGCCGAGCCGCCUCGGGCCCCCCAGCCGCCAGGGCGCCAGAUCCGUUCGUCCUACCAGAUACGGCCACACCCAGCCAGGGACCGCCCACCGCGGGGAUCCCGCGAGUCCGCGUCCUCCCACAGCUUCCCCCAACGGCGACGCGCGUGGUCGCGCUGCCACGGAGCCCACCAGUCGCAGCUGCCCACGACGCCUACACGGCACGCCGCUCGCCGCGCCCGCUAGCGCCUACUCGUCGCGCCCACCGGCGCUUGUCACGCUCGUCCACGCCCGCUCGCCGCGGUCGACGCGCCCCGUAGCUCUCCCCAGCCGAGCAGCCCCGCACUGCCCAGAUCUCGCGAGCGGAAAGGAAGUCCCCGCAGUCGCGCGGGCUUUGCCCGGCGGCGCUUGCCGGCGGCGGCGAGGGGAGGCGAGAUCCGGUCGGGGAGUUGUAGCGGCGGCUAGGGUUUCCGCCCGUGUCGCCCGCGGGGGAGACGACACGAGUCGGGAAUUCAUAGUACUCCCUCGAAACGGGUGAUACUUGAACUGAUCGAACAACCAGUUCUACAUUUGAUUUCAGAUGAUGCAGGCAACCCAGCAGUCUCAGACAUGCAUAAUGAAGCUUCAUUGUCGGCUAUGAGUAAUCUCGUGCAACAUUAUGCCAGAGAUGUAGCACAAAGUUCAUAUGGUAUUACCUGAUACGUCUUUGAUAUGAUUGUGCUUACAUGGGAUUUGUUUUCCUAUAUUAACCCAUCUUUUUUAGGAAUGCAUAGUACUCCCUCACAAUGGAUGAUACUUGAACAGACCAAACAACCAGCUGUACCCCAACACACUGAUGAUCAUAUCACAAAUGUUAAUCAUACUUAUCAUUUAAUUGUAGAUAAGUAUUAAAUGCA